rnacentral:lncRNA from 1 species
AAGUGCCAGGCACAUUGGAGAGAAUGGGGUAACCCAGCCUUUGUAGUCAAUUGGCAGCAUCAGGGAGCCAGGUGGGUCCUGGCAAUGUCAACAAGGCAGAGCAAUCUGUGAGGGGCACUCCUGAGGAACCUGUCUCUGAUGACUGCAGUAGUCCGCAGUUUGGAACUGGCCUCUACUUAGGGGAGCCCAGUUCUUACCCACCAUGGUGUUCAGCUAGAAGUGCAGCUCUCGAAGAAGCCUUGGCUUGGCUGGGGAGGGCUGGUGUUCUUUCUGUGCAGAAGUGCCCCCUGCCAGAGAAUGCAUCUGAGUGCAGGCCUCUUGUGAAAGGAAAUGUGUCUUGUCUUUCUCUUGCUGAGGAUUCCCACGUGGAAGCCAUCUGUUCCCAUGCCAAGGAUCUGCCUGAAGGUGGCCCUGGUUACCUGCAGGCCAGAGAACAGGCUAGGCUACCUCUUGGCGUGGCUAGAAAGCCCUUCUCCAAGUACCAGGAAGUCUGAGAAAACCAUCCCUUUUGUAGAAACAGAAGUCUUCCUUAUCCAGGGGUGUGUUUAAAUCAUGACCUCUGUUGCUAACUGCCUGUCCAGCUCUGAGGGUUGCUGGUUAGCCUGAGCAGUCCACCCUGGCCUGUUGUCAGAGAGUGUCAGGGAUGCUAGGAUUGCCCAACGCCAGCAGGGCCCAGUCAGGAGAGGAGCCACGUGGUGCCUCGAACGGGCAGUGUAGUGCUGAGCAGUGUGGCUGUGUGGCCAGAGAGCUCUGAGCAGGGCUGCAGGCAGCUGCCACCAGAGGCCAAGGGCAAGCUGUUGCCCACUUAGAGUGGGGUCUGGGCCUGUAACUGGGGCUGCCAUCCCACAGGAAUGUAGGCAACAGAC